AACAAACGCUGGCGGCGUGCCUAAUACAUGCAAGUCGAACGGGGUCGCAAUACAUAGUGGCGCAUGGGUGAGUAACGCGGGGAUAAUCUGCCGUAGAGUGGGGUAUAUACAGUCGAAAGAUGAGCUAAUACGGCAUAAGACCACAAGAGCUGCGGACCAAGUGGGGAAGGGAUUUUCGCUCCUAGAGGAGUCGGCGUAAGAUUAGCUAGUUGGUGAGGUAAUUGAGUAGCAAGGGUAAGUUCUUUCCCUGGUCUGAGAGGAUGAUCAGUCACACUGGAACUGAGACACGGUACAGACGCCUACGGGAGGCAGCAGUAGGGAAUAUUGCACAAUGGAGGAAACUCUGAUGCAGCGACGCCGCGUGAGUGAUGAAUGCGUUCGGGUCGAAAAGCUCUGUCGCAGGGGAAUAACACAAUGAAGGUACCCAGUAAGAAAGGAUCGGCUAACUUCGUG
rnacentral:rRNA from 1 species